UGUAGAAUCCUGUCUUGAGGGGCUG
rnacentral:misc_RNA from 1 species